rnacentral:rRNA from 1 species
CAUCCUGGGGCUGAAGCAGGUCCCAAGGGUAUGGCUGUUCGCCAUUUAAAGAGGUACGCGAGCUGGGUUUAGAACGUCGUGAGACAGUUCGGUCCCUAUCUACCGUGGGCGUUGGAAAUUUGAGAGGAUCUGCUCCUAGUACGAGAGGACCAGAGUGGACGAACCUCUGGUGUACCGGUUGUCACGCCAGUGGCAUCGCCGGGUAGCUAUGUUCAGAAGGGAUAACCGCUGAAAGCAUCUAAGCGGGAAGCCUACCUCAAGAUAAGAUUUCCCCGAGACUUUAUGUCUCCUAAAGAGCCGUUGAAGACUACGACGUUGAUAGGUUGGAUGUGGAAGCAUAGUGAUAUGUGAAGCUGACCAAUACUAAUUGCUCGUGAGGCUUGACUAUACAACACCCAAACAGUUG